ACACUCAACAUCUUCAUUGGUGACCUAGAUGAAGAGAAAGAACACCAUCUCAACAACUUAGCUGCUGAUACAAAUCCAGGAGACCUCUAAGCUAUGCAAUAGAGAAAUUUGUCAGCCAGGCUUUCCAGGAAUGAUCAUGUUGAUUUAUCUUCAGUGUGGUAUGUCUCAACAAGAUUUCUCCAAACACUUCGUUCUUAAAGCUACCCCCGUUUAAGACACCCCUGCCAUCUGCAGCGUUUUAAGGCUUGAAGCACUAAAAGGUUGCUCCUUGGAUGGUCGUUACUUCGCAAACAGUUGUGGGUUUGAUAGUCAUGGCCUGUGCACUGGAAAAUCCCAAAUCUCUGCAUCAGAGAGUGGAGUUCUUCUGGAGAAUAAUUGUCCUGACUUUCUCCAAAGCUUUCUGAAACUCCUGUGUUGUGUCAGCUGGCUUUGUUACAAGUGGAGGAGAAGGAGCAGCAGUAUUCCCUGGGCUUCUUGACUGCAGGGUAAAUCCUGUGUGACAGUCACUGCUCCUCCAGGAGAGCUGCAGCUGUGCAGAUAAGAAAGGCACGUGUGCUCCUGGGAGAACCUCUGUGGGAAGCAGAGGCCUCAAUGAAAGUGGAGCUCUCAGAAGAAAGGGGCCUGGGAUACGUGCCAUGCAGACGAACCAGAAAACAGUGAGAUAUCCCAAUUCCAGAGUGAGCUCAACUUUUCUUCCAUUACAGACCUCAUAGCCUGAAGUGGUUCCUGGUUUAAUCUGAGGCCUCCUCCAGCAACACUGCAGUGGCAUUCAUCUUGACUUGUGUUUGCAAGCUCAGGCUUGGCAGCACUGUCUGGAAAAGUUUUGCUGCUGCCGUAAUGCCAUGGGAGAAUGAUGGGGAAAAUGUAGGCUGCUAAAAAUUAAAUGGAUGAAUAAUGAAAACAAGCUGAUUAAAUUCUGCAACCUCUUCAGCUUCAUGGCUCUAGGGUGGCUUAUGUCCUGUUAAAAUGAAUGGAUCCUGCAAGCUGGGCUUGGAAGACGAAAAUUAGAGUUUGAUAACAGAAGAAAAAAGCAAGCAGUGCCCAGUGAAAGAUGGCACAAAUAACUGAAGAAAAAUGGAUAUCGUACUUUAGUCAUCUGGUGUUCCAUUAUGAUGAUCUGCCUUAUUAUUUGAUGGGUAGAAUAUGAUAAGCACUGACAGAGAAGGUUUUAUAUAAUGCAGACAACUUCUUUCUGCCUAGUUAUGUGUUGUUGUUUAAAGCAAGCUUGAAGGAUACCAAGACAGAGUACUUUUCAGGAUGAACAGUGUGUAUGUCCAAAUCUAAAAUAUGUUAGAUAUAACAGGACAAAAUUUCUAUUCCGUCUUACUUCAAAAUUCCUGAGGUGCAAAGGGUCUUUAAGAAAUGUAUGACAGAGAAAAUAUUUCAACAUUUCAACAGCUUGCCAGCUGUUUCCUUUUAGUGCAGACUUACUUUCACAAAGAUUAGUGCAUAUGAAUCCAUAUAAUAAGGGGACGGGGGGAAGAGUAAAUGCAAACCAAGAAACAUUCUGCAGGUUCUUGUUUUCACAUAUGUGAAUAUACAGGAGGUAUGUGAUGUUUUGUCUCUGUCCUUUGGUAAAAGAUAUGCCAGGCUGGAGAAGCUUUAACUUCUCCAACGAAUCUCAAAGACCCUGCAUGAUGGCAGUCCCUUGAAAUAUGUACCUACUGUGACUGCAGCUGGAGUCAGCACAUAAAUUCAGUUGGAGACCUGACUUUGGCAUUAGCUUGCCAGGCUUGAUAAGUCCCAUGGAGGACAAUGUAGUGAGAAUGUUCUGUCACAAAUUCUCUUGGGAUUCUUGAGGCUCAGAUGUGCUCUUGGCUACAGGAAGGCCAGUGAGCCAUUAAAGAUGCAGAAGGACAGCUGGUUCUGCUGGCUCAGGUAAGAGGUGCAGGACAUGGGAAGUCCCCUAAGGCAUCCCAGAAUGCAGGAAUCGCUGAUGUCUGUAUUUCAUGUUAGCACAUAAGCUGGUAACACUGGUUUCACAAACAUCAAAAUGAAAUGCACACAGAGAAAAGAGAGAAAAACUACCUUUGAUGGAGACCAGACACAGUAAUGAAUGAUUACUCUCAGUUGAUGGUUUAUAUGAUCUUCUGCCUCUUCUUGGCUCUAAAGGACUCUGCAAAAAUAUACUCUGCAUAUGGAAAUGGUAUAUGUGUAGCUAUGACAGUAAGCCAGAGUAAACUUCCCUUGUCCUUCAUAAAGUUUGGGAAAAAUCAUCGUUCUGAAAGAAAUCUGUGCAUGUUCUGAGGUGGUAAUGCCAUUACCAAAAGAAGAGUUCAGGCAGAGUAGAAAUGUACUUACAUAUUUACACUUAUCAAGUGAAUGCACUCGGAGAUAC
ensembl:lncRNA